GCUGUUGUAAAACACACAGGCAUUCAGAAAGUCAUGAGAGCUUGUGCCUUGCUUGCUGAAUUCAUCGACCCUGGCAGUUGCAGGGGUGGGGAAAGACACACUGAGUUAGCACUCAGCAGAGCGGGGCAAAGGACUCCCAGGGCUCACCCUAAAAAGGUGCAAAAAAGGACAAAAUUGCAGAGAGGCAAGGUUUGGCAGAGAUCAGCGUGGCUGCUGUGGCUAAGGCAGAGCUGCAGUUGCAGGAGAUGUUUCCAGCUGGACACGAGACAUUUGGGAUAUGGACCAUAGCACCUGAAGAAUACUCCUGGAAAAUGUUUCAGAUCCAGCUAGUCUGAACUGUACCUCUGAUACCACCCAAAGCUGCUGGAACUGAUAUUAUCUGGACUGAAGGAACAUGCGAAAUCAGAAAGACUCUAACCUGGGAAAUGGUGAAGAUCUGGGAAACUGAACUGGUCUGAAAUGGCUGGAUCUGGUUCUAUCUGUUUUGAACCAGUUUGAGCCGGUUGAAUCUGGUUUGAACUGGUUGGAUCCAAACAGAAGGAACACAAUGGAAAAAUUAAUAAUUCUAAGCUUUGUUUUCGAAAACAUUUGAAUCUUCAGGUUGGACCCAUUUGAGACCUGCUGAAAACAAGUGCAGCUCCUCACACAGCUGGAAUCAAAGCCAGUGUAACCUUUUUCUCUUCAGAUAAUCACCAACUCAGAGUCCACCAGAAGUGAAUUAAAAGUACUAAAGAUAGAAUAAAGGUCACUCUUUAAUCUGGUUGAGAUCCCAAUUCCUCUGUCUGAGAAAGCUACCUCUGCUCUCAACAACAGCUUGACCAACUAGAAUCUCAAGACCAGCAUCUAGACAAAAUUGAAAUCCAGUGUGAGCUGAGCAAGCACUCAAACUGAUGCAGCUGUACUGAGACAAGAGAGUGACCUCACUGCGAGGGACUGACCUUUGGAAGGCAAAAUGGGUCAAGCUCAUCCUCACCAAGAGCCAUCAGCACUCAGGGGGUUUAUGAGGUUUGGCUCAGGCGUGUAGGGUGAUGCUCUGAAUAUAAGGGACUGACUUGGCAAUAGCUGGGCUCAAGGCAAGACUAGAAAGGCAAUUUUUAUUACUGAAUUUUUAAAUGCAAUGUGCAAAUAGUUGGGAACUGAGUUUAUUUGCAAGGUUCUCUCCACCACUAAACACUACAGAUGUGCUAUGGUUUUGCAGAGUGCAUCUGUGUCUCUCACUGAAUCUCAGCAAACCCUACACUAACCCAGCUGUUCUGACUGCAAUGGAAUUUCAGGAAAAGCUCUCCCAAGCUAUAUAUUUACACAUUCUUGUAAAAUAACCAAUGUUGCUGAGAUAACCAAAAUAUUUUUUGAGCGAUAUUUUUUUUUUUGGC
rnacentral:lncRNA from 1 species